UGGGGAAUAUUGGACAAUGGGGGCAACCCUGAUCCAGCAAUGCCGCGUGUGUGAAGAAGGUCUUCGGAUUGUAAAGCACUUUCGACGGGGACGAUGAUGACGGUACCCGUAGAAGAAGCCCCGGCUAACUUCGUGCCAGCAGCCGCGGUAAUACGAAGGGGGCUAGCGUUGCUCGGAAUGACUGGGCGUAAAGGGCGUGUAGGCGGUUUACACAGUCAGAUGUGAAAUCCCCGGGCUUAACCUGGGAGCUGCAUUUGAUACGUGUAGACUAGAGUGUGAGAGAGGGUUGUGGAAUUCCCAGUGUAGAGGUGAAAUUCGUAGAUAUUGGAAAGAACACCGGUGGCGAAGGCGGCAACCUGGCUCAUGACUGACGCUGAGGCGCGAAAGCGUGGGGAGCAAACAGGAUUAGAUACCCUGGUAGUCCACGCUGUAAACGAUGUGUGCUAGAUGUUGGGUAACUUUGUUAUUCAGUGUCGCAG
rnacentral:rRNA from 1 species